rnacentral:rRNA from 2 species
CGUUUUUUGAUUAUAAUUUAAGAUUUAUUCUGCUCAAUGAAAAUUUAAAUAGCCGCAGUAUUUUAACUGUGCAAAGGUAGCAUAAUAAUUUGUUUAUUAAUUGUAAACUGGAAUGAAAGAAUAGAUAAAAUAUUUACUUUAUUAAUAUUAUAAAUAUAAAGUUAAUUUUUUAGUAAAAAAGCUAAAAUUUUUUAUUGGGACGAGAAGACCCUAUAGAAUUUUAUAUUAUAAUGAAUAUUUUAAAUUAAUAUAUUUUUAUAUAUUUAUUAUAGUAAUUUAUUGGGAGGAUAAUUAAAUUUUUAAACUUUAAUAUAAUUAACCAAAGAUAAAUGAAGAUUAGAUUUUAUAUAUAAAAUUUUAGAAAAAUUACCUUAGGGAUAACAGUGUAAUAUUUUUAGAAAGUUCUUAUUGAUAAAAAUGUUUAUAACCUCGAUGUUGAAUUUAGAUUAAUUUAAAUAGAAGUUUGUUUAAGUUUUAGUCUGUUCGACUAUUAAAAUCUAACAU